rnacentral:rRNA from 1 species
GUCGAACGGAUAUCUUCGGAUAUGAGUGGCGAACGGGUGAGUAACACGUACGGUACCUGCCUGCAUGAGCGGGAGAACUUCUGGAAACGGAAGCUGAUACCGGAUGAGCAAAGAGGAGGCAUCUUCUUUUUGGAAAAGGGGACAAGAGUCCCGCAUGCAGAUGGACCUGCGGUGCAUUAGCUGGUUGGAGAGGUAACGGCUCACCAAGGCGACGAUGCAUAGCCGGCCUGAGAGGGCGGACGGCCACACUGGGACUGAGACACGGCCCAGACUCCUGCGGGAGGCAGCAGUAGGGAAUUUUCGUCAAUGGGGGGAACCCUGAACGAGCAAUGCCGCGUGAGCGAGGAAGGUCUUCGGAUCGUAAAGCUCUGUUGCCGGGGACAAAAGGCAGAAAGAGUGGAAAGCUUUCUGAGUGAUGGUACCCGGCGAGGAAGUCACGGCUAACUACGUGCCAGCAGCCGCGGUAAUACGUAGGUGGCGAGCGUUAUCCGGAAUGAUUGGGCGUAAAGGGUGCGCAGGCGGCCGGGCAAGUCCGCAGUAAAAACUGGAGGCUCAACCUUCAGGGGCUGCGGAAACUGUCCGGCUGGAGAGCAGGAGAGGACGGUGGAACUCCAUGUGUAGCGGUAAAAUGCGUAGAUAUUUGGAAGAACACCGGUGGCGAAGGCGGCCG